rnacentral:rRNA from 1 species
UGCAGUCGACGGCAGCACGGGUGCUUGCACCGUGGUGGCGAGUGGCGAACGGGUGAGUAAUACAUCGGAACAUGUCCUGUAGUGGGGGAUAGCCCGGCGAAAGCCGGAUUAAUACCGCAUACGAUCUACGGAUGAAAGCGGGGGACCUUCGGGCCUCGCGCUAUAGGGUUGGCCGAUGGCUGAUUAGCUAGUUGGUGGGGUAAAGGCCUACCAAGGCGACGAUCAGUAGCUGGUCUGAGAGGACGACCAGCCACACUGGGACUGAGACACGGCCCAGACUCCUACGGGAGGCAGCAGUGGGGAAUUUUGGACAAUGGGCGAAAGCCUGAUCCAGCAAUGCCGCGUGUGUGAAGAAGGCCUUCGGGUUGUAAAGCACUUUUGUCCGGAAAGAAAUCCUUGGCUCUAAUACAGUCGGGGGAUGACGGUACCGGAAGAAUAAGCACCGGCUAACUACGUGCCAGCAGCCGCGGUAAUACGUAGGGUGCGAGCGUUAAUCGGAAUUACUGGGCGUAAAGCGUGCGCAGGCGGUUUGCUAAGACCGAUGUGAAAUCCCCGGGCUCAACCUGGGAACUGCAUUGGUGACUGGCAGGCUAGAGUAUGGCAGAGGGGGGUAGAAUUCCACGUGUAGCAGUGAAAUGCGUAGAGAUGUGGAGGAAUACCGAUGGCGAAGG